AUGUCACAACGAAGCAACAGUAAAAAAGGCAUUGAAGAUAUUCAGUCAGAGACUGUGCGUUCAAGAAGCAGUCGUUCAUCUGGUACAUCGUCCAGCUCGAAGAUUAGUAUGGCUGUCGCCAUGGCAAAGGCAAAGGCUGAAGCAGCGCAAGCUAGAGCAGCACACAUGCAGAAAGAAAUUGAACUUAAAGUAGAACAAGCUCGUGUUCAAGCAAAUCUUGGUGCAUUAAAUGAGGAGAAAGAAAAGGAUGCCGCCAUAGCAGAGGCGAAUGCUCUUGUUGCCGGAUUACAAGACAUGGGUUUUGAAGUAUGCAGUAAGGCUGGCAGCCAGGUUCCUCAAUCGGUCAAAGACCAGCGAGUCGCCGCUUAUGUGUCAGCACAAGCCAGCCUAUGCAGCAAAGGUUUAUCGGUUAGAAGAGGUAGCGACUAUGCUUCACCAACGCUGCAUCCUCCACAUUCUCAAACUAAUGAUGCAAUCAUCUCAACGCCUCACCCAAUCAGCACGAGUCAAAAUCAAGCUGCUGCUUCCGCAGAAAUUAUGCAACAUCAAGUUUAUCAAGCUCCUCAGACAAGUGGAAUACCGCUACAACAAAGGUACAAUCAAGCGUUUAACACUUUCUCAGUUCUUCAGCGUGAUGAGAGUCGCUUGCAACAGAACGUCAAAUCGGAUCCCUCCCCUCCUGCGCGCACACAUCCUCGCAAGACACCUUAUGAAGCUAGCCAUGAUCAUUCUACGUCCACUGGAGAUCUCAUCAAAUACCUAGCUCGUAGCAGCCUGGUGACUUCAGGUUUAACCGCAUAUGACGAUCAGCCAAUGAACUAUUGGGCCUGGAAGACAUCGUUCCUGAAUGCUAUCACCGAUCUAGACCUGUCUGCUGCAAGAGAACUUGACCUCCUCAUCAGGUAUCUAGGGAAAGAGUCGACAGAGCAAGUAAGAAGAAUUAAAACUGUCAACAUUAAGGAUCCAGUGAUUGGACUACGCAUGGCAUGGGAACGCCUUGACAAAGUAUAUGGCUCACCGGAGGCCGUCGAGCAGGCCUUGUUCAACAAGCUAGAAAACUUUCCGAAGGUUACAAUGAAGGAUCCACGAGGACUCAGGGAUCUAGCCGACCUGUUGUCGGAGCUUCAAGCAGCCAAAGAAGAUAACUAUCUUGCAGGCUUGUCGUAUUUGGAUACCUCCAGAGGUAUUAGGCCUAUUAUCGAGAAACUACCAUACAACAUGCAAGAAAAGUGGCUUUACCUUGGCGCAAGAUACAAACAGGAACAUUUUGUAAUUUUUUCACCUUUCUCCGUGUUGGUAGACUUCAUCGCCAUGGAGGCAAGGGCUCGCACUGACCCAAGUUUUAACUUCUUCACGCAAGCUCCAGUGGAGAGAAAGAGUAAAUGGGAGAAACCUACUAAGACACCAGUGUAUGUUCACAAGACGCAGGUCUCAGGGGUUUCUAAGGCAGAGUAUGGAGAAAGUACAGAACGUAUUGAUCCCAACAAACACUGCCCCCUGCACAAGAAGCCUCAUCCUCUGAGGAAGUGCAGAGGUUUUCGUGAGAAGAGCAUAAAUGAUCGCAAACAUCUUUUGAAAGAGCAUCAUAUCUGCUUUCGCUGUUGCUCCUCCACAGACCAUCUAGCAAAGGACUGCACUGCUGGAAUAAAAUGUACAGAGUGUGGGAGUGCGGCUCAUGUGACAGCACUUCACCCCUACUCACAUACCUGGAAAUCUAAGUCAUCCCCUUCCACUUCAGAGGAUGGCGGGGAGGAGGACAAAGCAGAAAUCAGAGAAGUUAAGUCGACGUGCACUCAAGUAUGUGGUGAAGGAUUGAGCGCUAGGACAUGUGCUAAGAUCUGCCUUGUUAAUGUGUUCCCCAAUGGCUGCAAGAAUGAGUCUAAGAGAAUGUACGCCAUACUAGACAAACAGAGCAAUCGCUCACUAGCGCGGUCUGAGUUUUUUGAGAUUUUUAAGAUCUCUGGAAAUUCCUACUCGUAUACCCUCAAAACCUGUGCGGGGUGUUCAGAGACGGCGGGAAGGAGAGCCAGUGGUUAUACUGUGGAGUCGGUGGACAAGAAAAUUAGCAUUCGUUUGCCUACACUCCUGGAGUGCAAUCAAAUCCCUAACGUUCGCACUGAGAUUCCAACGCCGGAAGCAGCUUACCAUCAAGCCCACCUGAAGCGCAUCGCUGACAAGAUUCCGCCUUUAGAUCCGGACAGCAAAAUUCUCCUCUUACUGGGCAGAGACAUCUUACAAGUACACAAGGUCCGAGAACAGAUUAGCGGCCCAGGUGAUGCACCAUUUGCGCAAAGGCUUGAUCUAGGAUGGGUCAUCAUUGGUGAUGUGUGCCUUGGAGGUGCUCACAGAACACAAGAGGUGAGAAGCUACAAAACAGCCAUUUUCGAGAACGGCCGUACAAGCUAUCUUCAACCAUGCAACAACCAGAUCAAAGUAAAAGAGAUAUUUGAGCAAGCGUUUAGACCUCAGCAUCAUUCAGCACCAAUCUCCAUCAGUGGUUCCAUGACGCUCGGUGGAGACUGCUUAGGGCAGACCGUCUUCGCUCGUUCUCCCGACGAUCAUAGACUCGCUCCAUCCAUGGAGGAUCUAGAGUUUCUGAAGAUAAUGGAGGCUGAGUGUUUUCAGGACAGUUCCAAAAGUUGGGUCGCACCUUUACCCUUUCGGUUGCCGAGACAGAGGCUGCCUAACAACAGGAAGCAGGUUUUUGACCGUUUUGUCUCGCUCCAGCGCUCAUUGGAAAAACGACCACAGUUGAAAGCCGAUUUCCUAGAGUUUAUGGAGAAGAUGUUCAAGAAGGCACACGCUGAAGUCGCUCCGCCAGUACAGCCUGGACAAGAGUGUUGGUACCUACCCCUGUUUGGUGUGUAUCAUCCAAGGAAACCAGAUAGGAUUUGUGUGGUCUUCGACAGUAGUGCGUCAUGCGAAGGAGUGUCACUCAACGAUGUCUUGCUAACUGGUCCCAACCUUAAUAAUAGCCUGCUUGGUGUCCUUAUGAGGUUCAGGAAGGAACAGGUGGCGAUCACUGCCGACAUCGAGCACAUGUUCCACUGCUUUGUAGUCAAGGAAGACCAUCGUGACUUUCUUCGCUUCCUGUGGUACAGGGACAACGACCCUACCUCCGACAUCAUUGAUUACAGAAUGCGGGUUCACCUUUUUGGGAAUAGUCCCUCGCCUGCCGUAGCAGUGUAUGGUCUGCGACGGGCAGCUAAGAAAGCAGAAGCAGACUAUGGUAGUGAUGCAAGAAGAUUCAUCGACCGCGAGUUCUAUGUUGACGACGCUUUGAAGUCCUUCAGCACAGAAGAAGAGGCCAUCAGCGUCCUAGGGCGAGCUCAGAAGAUGCUUGCAACUUCCAACCUCAGGCUACACAAAAUUGCUUCAAACCGACCGGCAGUUAUCGAAGCGUUUCCAUUUGAAGAUCGCACCAAGAACGUCAACAGCCUAGAUCUCUUUGUUGAUGAUUUGCCAAUACAACGUAGCCUUGGAUUGCUCUGGAACAUGCGCACAGAUACAUUCAUGUUUCGAAUCGAAGAUGACCAGAGGCCAUUCACUCGUAGAGGAGUGCUUUCGACUGUGAACAGCCUCUACGAUCCUCUAGGAUUCCUCGCACCCAUCACGGUUCAUGGAAGACUGAUACUCAGAGAGCUAACUAAGCAAGCAGAGGAUUGGGACACACCUCUUCCCAAAGACAUGGAGACUGAAUGGACUAGAUGGAAACGGUCGCUCCAAGAUCUGCACGGACUCCAGAUACCACGCCCUUAUACGUCAUUCUCCACCGCAGGUGCUCUAAGAAGAGAGCUCUGUGUCUUUGCAGAUGCAUCGGUAAAGGCAAUAGCAGCCAUAGCCUACAUCAAGGUGACAAGCCACCAGGAACAGACUGAGAUUGGCUUUGUCUUCGGGAAAGCAAAGUUGGCGCCUCAGCCCGAUCUAACCAUCCCAAGGCUUGAGCUUUGUGCGGCUGUACUCGCCAUCGAGAUCGCUGAGAUGAUAGUUUCAGAGAUGGACACCAUGUUCGACAACAUCGCCUACUACACAGAUAGCAAGGUUGUAUUGGGUUACAUCCAGAACCAGUCGAGAAGAUUCUAUGUCUACGUACACAACAGGAUCCAAAGAAUCCGUCAAUCACCUUGUUCUGGCCUUUGGAAGUACGUCCCAACACACCUUAACCCAGCCGACAUUGGAUCAAGAACUGUGACUUCAGACUUGCUUAGCAGCACAACUUGGCUCAAAGGUCCAGCCUUUCUUUACGAUGCGUCUUUGCAUUCAUCUGAGCUUCAAGAAGCUUACGACCUUAUCGACCCUGACGCUGACUCUGAAGUGCGUCCCCAGGUGGUGGCAAGUUUCACUCAUGUUACCAAAGAUGUGAUACAUCCACAACGCUUCGAGCGCUUCUCUAAGUUCAGUGCUCUCCUUACAGCCGUAGCUCGCCUCAUUCAUGUAGCUCGUUCCUUCGCUCACUCUAUCCAGGAUGAAUGUAAAGGGUGGCAUGUCUGUCGACCUACAGAGGAAGAAUUGUUGAAAGCCAAAGUGUGUAUUGUGAAGAGUGUCCAGAACGAGUACUAUUCAGAGGAGCUUAAGUGUAUUAAUUCAGGAUCCAACCUUCCACCGAAUAGCAGCCUUUGGAAAUUGCACCCCAUCUUAGACCAAAACCAACUUCUUAGAGUAGGAGGUCGAAUUGAGCAAUCGGAUCUGAGUAUAAAUGAGGUUCAUCCCAUAAUCAUUCCUGGCCGGCAUCAUUUAGCUACUCUGAUUGUGUCUCACUAUCACGAAGCAGUGAAACACCAGGGAAGACAUCUGACUGAAGGUGCCAUUCGAAUGGCAGGAUUCUGGCUAGUGGGAGCUAAACGCUGCAUUAGUAGUUUACUUCACAAAUGCAUCACUUGUAGAAAACUGAGGGGCAAAAUGGAACAUCAGCAGAUGGCAGCUCUGCCAGCAGAACGGCUGCAAGUAGCACCUCCUUUCACUUACGUAGGUGUCGACGUUUUUGGACCCUGGGAGAUUGUUUCACGUCGUACAAGAGGAGGAGUCUUCAACUCUAAACGAUGGGCUGUGAUGUUCUCUUGUAUGUGUUCGAGGGCAGUCCACAUCGAGGUGAUUGAAGCCAUGAGUACCAGCAGUUUUAUCAAUGCCUUGAGGAGGUUCUUUGCUAUCAGGGGCCCCGCAAAGCAGAUACGUUCCUACUGCGGAACUAAUUUCAUCGGCGCUUCUCGUGAAUUAGAAAUGGACCUGUCGAAUCCAGGUUUCAAACGAGUAGAGGAGUACUUGAACACUCAGAACUGCACCUGGGUAUUCAACCCACCCCACGCAUCUCACAUGGGUGGUGCGUGGGAACGAAUGAUCGGCAUCGCCCGUCGUAUUUUGGAUUGCAUGUUGCUUGAGCAGAAAAGGUCUCAUCUUUCACAUGAAGUCCUGACGACCCUCAUGGCCGAAGUAACCGCGAUCAUGAAUGCCAGACCACUCAUUCCAGUCUCAUCGGAUCCGGAAUCGCUUCUCAUC
rnacentral:lncRNA from 1 species